rnacentral:rRNA from 1 species
UACAGAGGUGGCAAGCGUUGUUCGGAUUCAUUGGGCGUAAAGGGUGCGUAGGCGGCGCGGUAAGUCGGGUGUGAAAUCUCGGAGCUUAACUCCGAAACUGCAUUCGAUACUGCCGUGCUUGAGGACUGGAGAGGAGACUGGAAUUUACGGUGUAGCGGUGAAAUGCGUAGAUAUCGUAAGGAAGACCAGUGGCGAAGGCGGGUCUCUGGACAGUUCCUGACGCUGAGGCACGAAGGUCAGGGGAGCAAACGGGG